rnacentral:snRNA from 1 species
GGAACCCGAAAGGGUCAUCCGUUAAAAUUGGAACGAUACAGAGAAGAUUAGCAGGGCCCCUGUCGCGAG